rnacentral:misc_RNA from 1 species
GAUGAAGAACGCAGGCGAAAUGCGAUACGUAAUGUGAAUUGCAGAUUUCAGUGAAUCAUCGAAUCUUUGAACGCACAUUGCGCCCGCCAGUAUUCUGGCGGGCAUGCCUGUUCGAGCGUCAUUUCAACCAUCAAGCCUUCGCUUGUGUUGGGGCCCCGCGGCUGCCGCGGUCCCCUAAAUCCAGUGGCGGGCUCGUCGUCGUACCGAGCGCAGUAGACAUCCUCGCUCCGGGAACCCGACGGGUGCCGGCCGUGAAACCCCCCACAUCAAGGUUGACCUCGGAUCAGGUAGGAAUACCCGCUGAACUUAAGCAUAUCAAUAAGCGGAGGA